rnacentral:rRNA from 1 species
UCAAGCCAAUAAGGGUACAUGGUGGAUGUCUUGGCGCUGAGAGGCGAUGAAGGACGUGGAAGACUGCGAUAAGCUUCGGGGAGCUGCCAAACAAGCUUUGAUCCGGAGAUUUCCGAAUGGGGCAACCUACUAUAGGUUUAUGCUAUAGUAUCUACACCUGAAUAUAUAGGGUGUAGAGGCGAACGGAGAGAAUUGAAACAUCUUAGUAACUCCAGGAAAAGAAAGAGAAUUCGAUUUCCUUAGUAGCGGCGAGCGAAAAGGAAGAAGCCUAAACCAGCUAUGUGUCAAGCCCUUGUGCGUUGCAUAGUUGGGGUCGUGGGUGUUGCGGUGGCAGUACAAGGACUGCCUGUGAAGUUACAAAUGUAAUUUUUAGCUGAAUAGUACUGGAAAGAAUAACCAUAGAAGGUGAUAGUCCUGUAAGCGAAAAGAAUUACACUUCUAGCGUAAUUACCCGAGUAACACCCGUCUCGUGGAAGCGGGUGUGAAUUUAGGGAGUCCACUCUCUAAGGCUAAAUACUACUCAGCGACCGAUAGCGUACAAGUAGCGCGAGCGAAAGAUGAAAAGAACCCCUGUUAGGGGAAUGAAAUAGAACCUGAAACCGUGUACUUACGAGCGGUGGGAGCACUAUGAUUCUUUAAUAGAAUAAUGUGUGACCGCGUGCCUUUUGCAUAAUGAACCGGCGACUUAUUGUGUAUUGCAGGUUAAGUCUUUAUGGGACGAAGCCACAGCGAAAGCGAGUGUGAAAGCGCGAACUAUAUGUAGUACAUAAUAGACCCGAAACCAUGUGAUCUACCCUUGGUCAGGAUGAAGCGAAUGUAAAAAUUCGUGGAGGUCCGAACGCACUUGCGUUGAAAAGCGAGGCGAUGAACUGAGGGGAGGAGUAAAAGUCUAAUCAAACUUGGUGAUAGCUGGUUCUCUCCGAAAUAGCUUUAGGGCUAGCCUUAUGGCGUGAAUAUGAUGGGGGUAGAGAUACUGAAUAGAUUCUGGGGCCUACCAGGCUACCAAGUCCAAUCAAACUCCGAAUACCAUUAUAUAAGUCAUAGGAGACAGACAUUGGGGGAUAAGCUUCAUUGUCAAAAGGGAAACAGCCCAGACCGACAGCUAAGGUCCCUAAAAUAGACUAAGUGAUAAAGGAAGUGAGAGUGCAAAGACAGUUAGGAUGUUGGCUUAGAAGCAGCAAUCAUUUAAAAAGUGCGUAAUAGCUUACUAACCGAGCAUUCUUGCGCCGAAAAUAUUACGGGACUAAGUUUAUUACCGAAGCUUCGGAUUGUUCGAAUUAUUUAUAAUUUGAACAGUGGUAGGAGAGCGUUCUAUGUUAGGUUGAAGAGAGACUGUAAAGACUCUUGGACGAUAUAGAAGUGAUUAUGCCGGUAUAAGUAGCGAUAAUAUAAGUGAGAAUCUUAUUCGCCGUAAGCCUAAGGUUUCCUGGGGAAGGUAAAUCCGCCCAGGGUUAGCCGGAGCCUAAGUCGAGGCUGAAAGGCGUAGACGAUGGACAACAGGUUAAUAUUCCUGUGCUACCAUAAUAGCGUUGAACAUGGGGGGACAGAGGUGUAAAGGUUAGCAAGCCUAAUAGACACGGUUUGUUCAAGCCGGAGAUGUUAUUCCAGGAAAAUCCGGAAUGCUAAAACAUCGAUGGUGAGUACGUUGGCGUAAGCCUAUAAGUAACCGGAGCAUCUCUCAAGAAAAGCCUCGAUUGUGAGUUAUUGUGGUAUCCGUACUAAAACUGACACAGGUAGGCAGGGAGAGAAUCCUAAGGCGCUCGAGAGAACCCUCGUUAAGGAACUCGGCAAAAUUACUCCGUAACUACGGGAGAAGGAGUGCCUCAAGUAAAAUUGAGACCACAGUAAAAAGACCCGGGCGACUGUUUACUAAAAACACAGGUCUCUGCUAAGAUUUAAAAUCAACGUAUAGAGACCGACGCGUGCUCGAUGCCAGAAAGUUAAGGGGAUGGGUUAGUGUUUGAAAAGAUGCGAAGCUCAGAACCGAAGCUCUGGUGAAUGGCGGCUCUAACUAUGAGAGUCCUAAGGUAGCGAAGUUCCUUGUCGGCUAACUUCCGACGUGCAUGAAUCGCGUAACGACUUGGGUACUGUCUCAACGAGGGACUCGGCGAAAUUGUAGUCGUGGUGAAGAUGCCACGUACCCGCGGCAAGACGGAAAGACCCCGUGAACCUUUACUGUAGCCUAUUAUUGGGUUUUGG